UACGUAGGGGGCGAGCGUUGUCCGGAAUUACUGGGCGUAAAGAGCUCGUAGGGGGUUUGUCGCGUUGUUCGUGAAAUCUCACGGCUUAACUGUGAGCGUGCGGGCGAUACGGGCAGACUAGAGUACUGCAGGGGAGACUGGAAUUCCUGGUGUAGCGGUGGAAUGCACAGAUAUCAGGAGGAACACCGGUGGCGAAGGCGGGUCUCUGGGCAGUAACUGACGCUGAGGAGCGAAAGCGUGGGGAGCGAACAGG
rnacentral:rRNA from 1 species